rnacentral:rRNA from 1 species
ACAGAGGGUGCAAACGUUGUUCGGAAUUACUGGGCGUAAAGCGCGUGUAGGCGGUCAUGUAAGUCGGAUGUGAAAGCCCUCGGCUCAACCGGGGAAGUGCACCCGAAACUGCGUGACUGGAGUCUCGGAGAGGAUAGUGGAAUUCUCGGUGUAGAGGUGAAAUUCGUAGAUAUCGAGAGGAACACCGGUGGCGAAGGCGGCUAUCUGGACGAUGACUGACGCUGAGACGCGAAAGCGUGGGGAGCAAACA